AGGAUUGUGGUUAUUGAUAGUUCGUAGUUCCAUCACAUUCUCCAGAGAUAGGAUUGUGGUUAUUGAUAGUUCGUAGUUCCAUCACAUUCUCAAGAGAUAGGAUUGUGGUUAUUGAUAGUUCGUAGUUCCAUCACAUUCUCCAGAGAUAGGAUUGUGGUUAUUGACAGUUCAUAGUUCCAUCACAUUCUCCAGAGAUAGGAUUGUGGUUAUUGAUAGUUCGUAGUUCCAUCACAUUCUCCAGAGAUAGGAUUGUGGUUAUUGACAGUUCAUAGUUCCAUCACAUUCUCCAGAGGAAAAAAAGACUUUGACUCUGUUCAAGCACCGUGCGCUACAGUGCACCAGAGAGCCGCACAAAAAUGAAAUCGCUGGCAAUUUUUUCGCUGGAUAAAAAGGAAACAAGCUCAUCUGUUUGAAAGCGCUGAGAUGCCGAGACGAACACAAGACUGGAAAAGAACUUUCAGCUCAGCAGCAAAAAGUUGGAUACAUGAAGAAAAUGAAGAAAUACAUUCUCAUCGUCACACUUGUCGUACUAACGCUACGAGGAUGCAGGUUAUCCCUCAUCCAAGCCCUUACACAAACACAGACACACCAACUCGUGAAAGUAUGUAGAGACACUGGUUGCACUUUGUUCCAGGAUAUCCAAUCUAGAGCAGGUAA